rnacentral:rRNA from 1 species
UACAGAGGCUGCAAGCGUUAUUCGGAUUCACUGGGCGUAAAGGGUGCGCAGGCGGCCAAGUGUGUCAGGUGUGAAAUCCCGAGGCUUAACCUCGGAACUGCGCCUGAAACUACUUGGCUAGAGUACUGGAGAGGGUAACGGAAUUCACGGUGUAGCAGUGAAAUGCGUAGAUAUCGUGAGGAACACCAGAGGCGAAGGCGGUUACCUGGACAGUUACUGACGCUCAGGCACGGAAAGCGUGGGGAGCAAAAGGG